AUGACCAGAUUAGCCAUGCAUGUCUCAGUAUAAGCUUCUAUACGGCGAAACUGCGAAUGGCUCAUUAAAACAGUUAUAGUUUAUUUGGUGGUCAGCAAUUACAUGGAUAACCGUGGUAAUUCUAGAGCUAAUACAUGCGCCCAAACCCGACUUCGUGGAAGGGUUGUGUUUAUUAGAUACAGAACCAACCCAGGCUCCGCCUGGCCUUGAGGUGAUUCAUAAUAACCGAACGAAUCGCAUGGCUAUGCCGGCGAUAGACCAUUCAAGUUUCUGACCUAUCAGCUAUCGUCGGUAGGGUAUUGGCCUACCGUGGCAAUGACGGGUAACGGAGAAUUAGGGUUCGAUUCCGGAGAGGGAGCCUGAGAAACGGCUACCACAUCUAAGGAAGGCAGCAGGCGCGCAAAUUACCCAAUCCUGACGCAGGGAGGUAGUGACAAGAAAUAACAAUACAGGGCAUACAUGUCUUGUAAUUGGAAUGAGUAAACUUUAAAUCACUUUAC
rnacentral:rRNA from 1 species